GUAUAGUACCGUGAGGGAAAGGUGAAAAGAACCCCGGGAGGGGAGUGAAAUAGAACCUGAAACCCUGCACUUACAAGCUGUGGAAGCACAUUUCUUGUGUGACCGCGUACUUUUUGUAGAACGGGCCAACGAGUUACGUUAAGUAGCAAGGUUAAGCACUUAAGGUGCGGAGCCGUAGCGAAAGCGAGUUUUAACUGAGCGUUCAGUUACUUGACGUAGACCCGAAACCGGGCGACCUACCCAUGAGCAGGAUGAAGCGAAAGUAAAAUUUCGUGGAGGUCCGAACCCACGAGCGUUGAAAAGCUCGGGGAUGACUUGUGGGUAGCGGUGAAAUUCCAAUCGAGCCCGGAGAUAGCUGGUUCUCCCCGAAAUAGCUUUAGGGCUAGCCUCAAGGUGAGAGAUACGGAGGUAGAGCACUGAAUGUCCUAGGGGGUAUUGCACCUACCGAAGACUAUCAAACUCCGAAUGCCGUCAUCUUAUACUUGGGAGUCAGACUGUGGGUGAUAAGAUUCAUAGUCGAAAGGGCAACAGCCCAGAUCGUCAGCUAAGGUCCCUAAAUGUAAGUUAAGUGGUAAAGGAUGUGGGAUUGCACAGACAACCAGGAUGUUGGCUUAGAAGCAGCCACUCAUUCAAAGAGUGCGUAAUAGCUCACUGGUCGAGUGAUCCUGCGCCGAAGAUUUCCGGGGCUAAAACUUACUACCGAAGCUACGGCAUCAGUAAUGAUGGGUAGGGGAGCUUCCCAUAUGGGUUGAAGCAUGACCGUAAGGACAUGUGGACAGUAUGGGAGUGAGAAUGUUGGCAUGAGUAGCGAGAUGUGGGUGAGAAUCCCACAGGCCGUAAACCCAAGGUUUCCAGGGGAAGGUUCGUCCGCCCUGGGUUAGUCGGGACCUAAGCUGAGGCCGAAAGGCGUAGGUGAUGGACAACAGGUUGAUAUUCCUGUACUACCGAUAACCGUUUGAGAGAAGGGAUGACACAGUAGGAUAAGCUAAGCACACUGUUGGUUAUGUGUGCCCAAGCAUUGAGGCAGUCAAAGUAGGCAAAUCCGCUUUGAUAAUGCUGGGAUGUGAUGGGGAGCGAAAUUUAGUAGCGAAGUAGCUGAUUUCACACUGUCAAGAAAAGUCUCUAUCGAGGUUAAAGGUACCCGUACCGCAAACCGACACAGGUGGGUGAGGAGAGUAUCCUAAGGCCAGCGAGAGAACUGUUGUUAAGGAACUCGGCAAAAUGACCCCGUAACUUAGGGAUAAGGGGUGCCACCAUCAGGUGGCCGCAGAGAAUAGGCCCAAGCGACUGUUUACCAAAAACAUAGGUUUCUGCUAAGUCGCAAGACGAUGUAUAGGAGCUGACGCCUGCCCGGUGCUGGAAGGUUAAGGGGAUCUGUUAGAGCAAUCGAAGCAGUGAACUUAAGCCCCAGUAAACGGCGGCCGUAACUAUAACGGUCCUAAGGUAGCGAAAUUCCUUGUCGGGUAAGUUCCGACCCGCACGAAAGGCGUAACGAUUUGGGCACUGUCUCAACAACAGACUCGGUGAAAUUGUAAUUCCGGUGAAGAUGCCGGAUACCUGCGACAGGACGGAAAGACCCCAUGGAGCUUUACUGUAGCUUGACAUUGGGUCUUGGUACUACAUGUACAGGAUAGGUGGGAGGCUUUGAAACCAGGACGCCAGUUUUGGCGGAGCCAUCCUUGGGAUACCACCCUUGUAGUACUGGGACUCUAACCAUAGGCCAUGAAUCUGGUCUUGGGACACUGUCAGGUGGGCAGUUUGACUGGGGCGGUCGCCUCCCAAAAGGUAACGGAGGCGCUCAAAGGUUCUCUCAGUACGGUCGGAAAU
rnacentral:rRNA from 1 species